AGGGAAUCUUCCACAAUGGACGCAAGUCUGAUGGAGCAACGCCGCGUGAGUGAAGAAGGUUUUCGGACCGUAAAGCUCUGUUGUUGGUGAAGAAGGAUAGAGGUAGUAACUGGCCUUUAUUUGACGGUAAUCAACCAGAAAGUCACGGCUAACUACGUGCCAGCAGCCGCGGUAAUACGUAGGUGGCAAGCGUUGUCCGGAUUUAUUGGGCGUAAAGCGAGCGCAGGCGGAAGAAUAAGUCUGAUGUGAAAGCCCUCGGCUUAACCGAGGAAUUGCAUCGGAAACUGUUUUUCUUGAGUGCAGAAGAGGAGAGUAGAACUCCAUGUGUAGCGGUGGAAUGCGUAGAUAUAUGGAAGAAUACCAGUGGCGAAGGCGGCUCUCUGGUCUGCAACUGACGCUGAGGCUCGAAAGCAUGGGUAGCGAACAGGAUUAGAUACCCUGGUAGUCCAUGCCGUAAACGAUGAGUGCUAAGUGUUGGGAGGCUUCCGCCUCUCAGUGCUGCAGCUAACGCAUUAAGCACUCCGCCUGGGGGAGUACGACCGCAAGGUUG
rnacentral:rRNA from 1 species